GGGGAAUCUUGCGCAAUGGGCGAAAGCCUGACGCAGCGACGCCGCGUGAGUGAUGAAGGCCUUCGGGUUGUAAAGCUCUGUGGGGAGAGACGAAUAAGGCAUGGCGAAUACCCAUGUUGAUGACGGUAUCUCCUUAGCAAGCACCGGCUAACUCUGUGCCAGCAGCCGCGGUAAGACAGAGGGUGCAAACGUUGUUCGGAAUUACUGGGCGUAAAGCGCAUGUAGGCGGCCUAGCAGGUCGGAUGUGAAAGCCCUCGGCUCAACCGAGGAAGUGCAUUCGAAACCGCAAGGCUCGAGUCCCGGAGAGGGUAGUGGAAUUCUCGGUGUAGAGGUGAAAUUCGUAGAUAUCGAGAGGAACACCGGUGGCGAAAGCGGCUACCCGGACGAGGACUGACGCUGAGAUGCGAAAGCGUGGGGAGCAAAC
rnacentral:rRNA from 1 species